rnacentral:tRNA from 1 species
GCGGAGAUCGUCGAGCUGGUCAAAGACGCUGGACUUAAGAUCCAGUCCCGUAGGGGUUCGUGGGUUCGAAUCCCACUCUCCGCACCA